AAGUCCCUCUAUCUCCAAAAAAGUCCAUUUUAUUUCC
rnacentral:tRNA from 1 species